UACAAUCCCUUCAACAGAACGUCUGACUUUAAGACACAGGAAGUGAUGUCACCCGGCGUCUCUGAGAUGAACCUGUUCGGUCUGAACAGAAGCGUGAGUCCCGUUAACAGUCCGUCUCUGAGCCAGCGCACACGGAUCCCGGGAUACGACAGUCUGCCUCGCCGACGAGACAAGGCGACUCCAAGUCAACUCAUGCACGAAACAACCAAACCAAACCGAACAAACUGGACUUCAUCCAGGAGCUGACCAAACAGCUGGAGGACUGCCGCAGGAGAAACCAGUUUCUGGAAGCGGAGAGCAUCGAGAUGGAGAAGGAGAGGAACCAGAUCCGCUUCGAGAUGCGAGGUCUGCUGGUGAACAACGAAGAUCUGCUGCGGACGAACACACAGAUGCAGGGCGAGAGCAACCGUCUGCGAGAGAAGAUCGUGGAGCUAGAGAGCAACACAACGUCAUGCAGGAGCGCUUCAGACAGAUAGAGAAAGAGCUGAAGGAGGCGCGUGAGGUGAUGGUCGAGGCAAACACUCAGGAAUACGCUUUCAGCUUCCUGCAGCAGACGCUCAAGAACCAAAUACAGGACACUGAGGAAGCUCUGGAGAAACAGACACAACACGCUCAGACUGUGUCAGAGAAACUGUGGCUCGCCGAGAGGAGCCUGGAGGAACUACAGCUGGAGAAGGAGAUAAAG